AUCGCCUUUCUUGUCAUAGUUACCAUACAAAAACCCUGCUCUGAUCAAGUACCUAUUAUUUUUUCCUUGAGUAGCAUUUAGGGUGUAACAACUUUUGGUUCCCUCUGGGAAGCUUCGAAGAUUCAAAUACUGCCUGUCCAUGUUCAUGGUGUUGAUUUCAGAUGAUAUAUUUUCACUUACACCAGUGUAUAUGUAGGGUGCAUCUGAAACGUAGUUGAUGCUUGUGAUCUCAUCCACAUAGCUAGAACCAUCAGUGAUGCCACUGUCUAUGCUAAUGAAAUCUGAUUGGUCCUGAGCGCAACCCAGAAAUGAAAGGAGAAAAGCACCACUGAAAAUUGCAAAG
rnacentral:misc_RNA from 1 species